rnacentral:rRNA from 1 species
AUUGAACGCUAGCGGGAUGCUUUACACAUGCAAGUCGAACGGCAGCGCGAAGGAAGCUUGCUUUCUUUGGCGGCGAGUGGCGAACGGGUGAGUAAUGUAUCGGAACGUGCCCAGUAGCGGGGGAUAACUGGCCGAAAGGUCAGCUAAUACCGCAUACGCCCUACGGGGGAAAGGGGGGGAUCGCAAGACCUCUCACUAUUGGAGCGGCCGAUAUCGGAUUAGCUAGUUGGUGGGGUAAAGGCCUACCAAGGCGACGAGCCGUAGCUGGUUUGAGGGGACGACCAGCCACACUGGGACUGAGACACGGCCCAGACUCCUACGGGAGGCAGCAGUGGGGAAUUUUGGACAAUGGGGGAAACCCUGAUCCAGCCAUCCCGCGUGUGCGAUGAAGGCCUUCGGGUUGUAAAGCACUUUUGGCAGGGAAGAAACGGCCUGGGAUAAUACCCUGGGCAACUGACGGUACCUGCAGAAUAAGCACCGGCUAACUACGUGCCAGCCGCCGCCGUAA